rnacentral:rRNA from 1 species
UAUUGGAUUGGUUAGAAAAUUUUUACUUAGUUUUUCUUUUAUGAAAGUAUUCUUUAUUUUAUUAUUCAAGUCGAACAAAUUUUUUUAUUUAUAGAUUAUGAGUACCGUGGGGGAAAUUUUUGAAAAUUUUUUAAAGUAUAGUUUAAUGCUAGUACCUUGUGUAUCAGGGUUUAUUAAAAGAUAAUUUUAUAUGAAAGAUUCCCGAAUUGAGAAGAGCUAAUUUUUAAUUUAUUUUAUUGUUGCAUAAAUAAUUUAUAAUUGGGGAUUAGUAAUGAAAUGUUAUUCGUUUCUCACUAUAUCUGGUUGUUUAAGAAAUAUAUUUAAUAUAGGGGUAGAUUUUUCUUUCAUUUUGAUUAGUGUCAUGAAGUCUUCUUCUUACUGUAGCAGGGAUUAUCUUGCUAGGGGAUUUUCUAUAAUUUUAAUUGUUUACGGUAUUAAUGUAGGAUUAGAAUUUUCCAUCUUUAAUAUGUUAUAAUUAAUUUACCUGAUUAAUGAUUUUUAUUUGUUUAGAGAUUUUAUUAAACCAUAAUAUUUAAUUUAUUCGUCGUAGGGAAUUUGAUGGAAUUAGUAUAAUUUUUUGUAUAAUUGUUUUUAAACGGUAGGUCAUGAUAAGGAACUCGGCAAUUAAUUUUCCCGCCUGUUUAUUAAAAACAUGGUCUUUUGAUUUUAAUUUAAGAUCGGGCCUGCCCAAUGAUUGAUUAAAUGGCCGCGGUAUUUUGACCGUGCGAAGGUAGCGUAAUCAUUAGUCUCUUAAUUGGAGACAUGUAUGAAUGGUCUGACGAGGAAAAAGCUGUCUCGUUAUGGAUUAUAGAAUUUAAAUUUUGAGUGAAAAUGCUUAAAUGGCGAUUAAAGACGAGAAGACCCUAUAGAGUUUAAUAAUUUGUACUUUUGAGUUAAAAGGAAUAGUGUUCUUAAAAGGAUUUAAAUUAUUUUGUUGGGGUGACAGGAAAAUUUAAUUAACUUUUCUUUAUUAUUUAUGCUGAUUAGCAGUUAUAUGAUCCACUUUUUGUGAAUAUAAGAUUAAAUUACCUUAGGGAUAACAGCGUAAUCUUUUCUAAGAGUUCAAAUCGAAGAAGAGGUUUGCGACCUCGAUGUUGGAUUAAAAUAUUGGUGCGGUGCAGCAGCUGCAUGCAUAGGUCUGUUCGACCUUUAAAUUUUUACAUGAUCUGAGUUUAAACCGGCGUGAGCCAGGUUGGUUUCUAUCUUUAUUAUUUGAUUUCAGGUUAGUACGAAAGGACCCCUUGAUUUGUAUAUUACAUUUAUUUGGAUGAACAUU